CUUGAGUUUAAACUUAUUAUAUUGCAGAAAUCAACAUUCAGGAUUCAAAAUUAAAUUUUUCUCCUUUUCUUUUAAAAUUUUUCUUUUAAAAGAAUACUUUAGGGUAGCGAAUACUUACCAGAUGUCUUCGGAAAAGCAUAAAUAUGCGAAACAGCAUGGACAGUCAGAUUAGUCUUAGUUCAGGUCUGACGACAGUUUUAUAACGAGUCUUAUAACAAUAACCAGAUUCCAGAUACUUGAAAGCAUCGGUUGAGAUUUGGAAAAUGAAAUAACGCGACGCAUGGUUCUCUUUUGGGACAUUGCCUUCAGUCGUGCGCGGACUUGAAAGGCCGAAGACUACUGUCG
rnacentral:misc_RNA from 1 species